rnacentral:lncRNA from 1 species
UAUAUCCCAAGAAUAGGAAGCCCAACCCUUUGUCCCCAAUUGCAUUGACAUGUCCAAAAGGAAUGGAACAUAUGACGCAAUAAGAAACAACCAACAAUUGGUAAGAGCUAAUGCAUACUUAGAUUUGAGAGUAAUGCAUACUUAGAUUAGAGUGAACACAAUAAUCUAGCCCAAUAAAUUGCAAAUUCUAUACAGUCACCAAAAUUUGAUGCAUCCGCAUAGGUGCCAAGCUUCCUGACAACUAUAACUCAUAGUGAUCAGAUUCCAAUGCAUAACCACAAGGAAUAACUCGUAUGUUUCACUUAAGCAGAUCACCUUAGGGUAGUCCCUGCAAAUAUAUUGGGUCAACGAAUCUGCAUUAUCUCAACCACAAGCAAAUAUAAAUUAUGAGUAAAGAAAAAUAAUGCAACGAGACAUGGAGGCCUGCAACAUAAACGUUAUUUAUCCGAAAAGAAAUCUAGUAUGAAUAUAAUAUUAAAUUAAGGGAAAAUAGCAUUCAAAGCGAAUAUGAAUAUGCCAUUGUGUAUCAUCUAUAACAUCUAAUAAAUCAUUGAAAGAAGCUAAAGCAAUAAAUCCCAUUUAAAUUGUCAAAAAAACCAGAUCAUCCCAAUUGUGUCAUGAAUGAAAAGUUAGAGACCAAACCCAUUAAUCAAUGACAUAGAUAAAAGGAUCAUUAGGUCCAUUAACAAAACAACAGAGUCCAAACUCAAUUCCAGUAAAAAAAACCAUAAAAAGGAACAAUAGGUCAAACAUAUUAAGUCACAUUCAUAUAUAACCAAGCCAUUUUAGGCUGCACAAAAAUCUUAUAUACUAUAAACAAUCAAUAAAGAAAUGCAUUGUUAAAUCCUUUUUCUCCUUGGUUGUCUUUGUAUAUGGUGAUUUAUAUUGACAACAAUCACCAUUAAAGAAAAAUCGAUAGGGACGAAUACAAAAUAAAAAAAGAAAAAGAACAUAAAAAGAACACCCAGAAUCCAUUUGAGAGAGAGAGAGAGAGAAAGAGCUUUGAUACAAAAUAGGGUUUUUAUGCAAGGGGGAAAGAGAGAGAGAUCGACCUUGAGAGGAACCCACAGAAGAAAGCUCCCACAUGAUUGAGCCUUCUUAGCAAUUUGAUACAAAAUAGCUUUUUAGCAAUUUGGGAUUUUUGCAAUUUGGACUGAGCUUUGAUACAAAAGAGCUUUUUAGCAAUUUGGGAUUUGUAUCACGCAAUCCCAACGAGAAAGAGAGAGAGAUUCAACGUGAAAGAAAUGAAAAUUCCAAAAGUGAAGCCAAGAGGAGAGGGGGGGGGGAGAGGAAGAGAAAGAGACAUUGUACCUUAAGAGGAACCCACAGAAGAAAGCUCCCGCAGAUUGUUCCUUGAGAGGAACUCGCAGAUUGUACCUUGAGAGAAAUAGGGCUAGGUUUUCGGGCACUGAGAGAGGGGCGAGAGCAGAGAGAAAUAACGAACCCACAGAUUGUACCUUGAGAGAAAUAGGGUUUGGUUUUUGGGCACUGAGAGAGGAGUGAGAGCAAAGAAAGGGGCGAGAGCAGAGCGAGAUUAACGCAGAGGAGGAAAGACAGGUUUAGAAUACCCAUACUAGGAGAGAGAGAUGCAUGUGUCAGCGGGAGAGAAUGGAUGAGACAGAGAGAGUUUUGU